rnacentral:rRNA from 1 species
GACGAACGCUGGCGGCGUGCUUAACACAUGCCAGUCGAACGGAAAGGCCCUGCUUUUGUGGGGUGCUCGAGUGGCGAACGGGUGAGUAACACGUGAGUAACCUGCCCUUGACUUUGGGAUAACUUCAGGAAACUGGGGCUAAUACCGGAUAGGAGCUCCUGCUGCAUGGUGGGGGUUGAAAGUUUCGGCGGUUGGGGAUGGACUCGCGGCUUAUCAGCUUGUUGGUGGGGUAGUGGCUUACCAAGGCUUUGACGGGUAGCCGGCCUGAGAGGGUGACCGGCCACAUUGGGACUGAGAUACGGCCCAGACUCCUACGGGAGGCAGCAGUGGGGAAUAUUGCACAAUGGGCGGAAGCCUGAUGCAGCAACGCCGCGUGCGGGAUGACGGCCUUCGGGUUGUAAACCGCUUUCGCCUGUGACGAAGCGUGAGUGACGGUAAUGGGUAAAGAAGCACCGGCUAACUACGUG